rnacentral:rRNA from 1 species
AUUGAACGCUGGCGGCAGGCUUAACACAUGCAAGUCGAACGGCAGCGGGGGGAAGCUUGCUCCCCCGCCGGCGAGUGGCGGACGGGUGAGUAAUGCCUGGGGAGCUGCCCAAUCGAGGGGGAUACCAGUUGGAAACGACUGCUAAUACCGCAUACGCCCUGAGGGGGAAAGGUGGGGAUCUUCGGACCUAUCGCGAUUGGAUGCACCCAGGUGGGAUUAGCUAGUUGGUGAGGUAACGGCUCACCAAGGCGACGAUCUCUAGCUGGUCUGAGAGGAGGACCAGCCACACUGGAACUGAGACACGGUCCAGACUCCUACGGGAGGCAGCAGUGGGGAAUAUUGCACAAUGGGGGAAACCCUGAUGCAGCCAUGCCGCGUGUGUGAAGAAGGCCUUCGGGUUGUAAAGCACUUUCAGCGAGGAGGAAAGGGUGGCAGCUAAUACCUGUCAUCUGUGACGUUACUCGCAGAAGAAGCACCGGCUAACUCCGUGCCAGCCGCCGCGGUAA